rnacentral:rRNA from 1 species
UACGAAGGGGGCUAGCGCUGCUCGGAAUCACUGGGCGUAAAGGGUGCGUAGGCGGGGCUUUAAGUCAGGGGUGAAAUCCUGGAGCUCAACUCCAGAACUGCCUUUGAUACUGAAGAUCUUGAGUUCGGGAGAGGUGAGUGGAACUGCGAGUGUAGAGGUGAAAUUCGUAGAUAUUCGCAAGAACACCAGUGGCGAAGGCGGCUCACUGGCCCGAUACUGACGCUGAGGCACGAAAGCGUGGGGAGCAAACAGG